AGGAUGAACGCUGGCGGUCUGCUUAACACAUGCAAGUCGAACGGAGUACCUCGGUACUUAGUGGCGGACGGGUGAGUAACGCGUGAGAAUCUGCCCUUAGGUCGGGGACAACCAUUGGAAACGAUGGCUAAAUACCGGAUAAGCCGAGAGGUAAAAGAUUAAUUGCCUAGGGAAGAGCUCGCGUCUGAUUAGCUAGUUGGUGAGGUAAAGGCUCACCAAGGCAUCGAUCAGUAGCUGGUCUGAGAGGAUGAUCAGCCACACUGGGAUUGAGAACGGCCCAGACUCCUACGGGGGGCAGCAGUGAGGAAUUUUCGUCAAUGGGGGCAACCCUGAACGAGCAACGCCGCGUGCAGGAAGAAGGUUUCGGAUCGUAAACUGCUUUUCUCGGGGAAGAGGAACGGACGGUACCCGAGGAAUCGAGCCCCGGCUAACUACGUGCCAGCAGCCGC
rnacentral:rRNA from 1 species